AAGUCGUAACAAGGUUUCCGUAGGUGAACCUGCGGAAGGAUCAUUAACACGUGUCCCACGUAAUAAACCAAACCGUGAACUGUGAACGUAUAUCCGGAAGGAUGAGCCUGAUGGCGUCGGUAGUAAAGUCCAGGGCGGCCUACUUCGGUGGGUGUACUCUGGGGUCCGCACAUUAGGUCUGUCCAACCGUUAACCAAACCAUUAUUCAUUAUUAUUAUCGUCUUAAGAACUGUCGUGCUGACUGUAGAGGAUAGACGUAAGUCUUGAAUCGAACGGUCGGUAAUGAUGUCUUAUUACAAACUAUGUACAACUCUUAGCAACGGAUAUCUUGGUUUCC
rnacentral:misc_RNA from 1 species